GCUGGAUGUGGUGGAGCAUACCUGUAAUCCCAGCUUCUCAGGAGGCUGAGGCAGGAGGAUUGCGAGUUCAAAGCCAGCCUCAGCAAUGGUGAGGAGCUAAGCAACUCAGUGAGAUCCUGUCUCUA
rnacentral:sRNA from 1 species